GAUGAACGCUGGCGGCGUGCCUAAUACAUGCAAGUCGAGCGAACGGACGAGAAGCUUGCUUUUCUGACGUUAGCGGCGGACGGGUGAGUAACACGUGGAUAACCUACCUAUAAGACUGGGAUAACUUCGGGAAACCGGAGCUAAUACCGGAUAAUAUUUUGAACCGCAUGGUUCAAAAGUGAAAGACGGUUUUGCUGUCACUUAUAGAUGGAUCCGCGCUGCAUUAGCUAGUUGGUAAGGUAACGGCUUACCAAGGCGACGAUGCAUAGCCGACCUGAGAGGGUGAUCGGCCACACUGGAACUGAGACACGGUCCAGACUCCUACGGGAGGCAGCAGUAGGGAAUCUUCCGCAAUGGGCGAAAGCCUGACGGAGCAACGCCGCGUGAGUGAUGAAGGUCUUCGGAUCGUAAAACUCUGUUAUUAGGGAAGAACAUAUGUGUAAGUAACUGUGCACAUCUUGACGGUACCUAAUCAGAAAGCCACGGCUAACUACGUG
rnacentral:rRNA from 1 species